rnacentral:lncRNA from 1 species
UUCAACAAAUCAUCACUGAUCGUGAAUCAGCUUUGGAGGAUUUUGAAAGUCAGAAGCAAACCAUCAACAAAUCAAUCAUUGAUACACGAGCGAGAAUACUGAAAAAGUUAGAAGACUUAGGACUGAAACUUCUUUAAGAGUUAGACACAAAACAUGAAUAUAGUAAGUCGGAAGCAAACACACUUCUAAACCGUAUGAAAAACGCAAAACGAGAUUUAAGUUGUCUGAGGGAGCAAACUUCUCAUUCGCGUCCGACAUUCAGCUUUUCUUGGGAACGCGCCAGAUCAAUGAAGCCGUCUUCAAAGAAGUAAACUCGAUCAAAGAAGGAAUCAAGUCUG